rnacentral:rRNA from 1 species
UCUUGGUCAUUUAGAGGAAGUAAAAGUCGUAACAAGGUUUCNGUAGGUGAACCUGCGGAAGGAUCAUUAUCGUAAAACGGGGGCANGGAAGGCUGUCGCUGACCUUUGAACGGUCGUGCACGCCAGAAGUGCCCUCGCACACAAUCCACCUCACCCCUUGUGCAUCACCGCGUGGGGGCUCCUUUUGGCUCGUUCCAAAGGGGUGCUCACGUUUUCACACAAACUCGAGGCAGUGUAGAAUGUCUCUUUUUUGCGAUGACACGCAAUCAAUACAACUUUCAACAACGGAUCUCUUGGUUCUGGCAUCGAUGAAGAACGCAGCGAAAUGCGAUAAGUAAUGCGAAUUGCAGAAUUCAGUGAAUCAUCGAAUCUUUGAACGCACCUUGCGCCCCUUGGCAUUCCGAGGGGCACACCCGUUUGAGUGUCGUGAAAUUCUCAAAAACCCCUUCCUUUGGUGGAAAGGAUUUUGGACUUGGAGGCCUUUUGCUGGUUUCACCUUGAAGCGAGCUCCUCCCAAAUGGAUUAGCGGGGUCUGCUUUGCUGAUCCUUGACGUGAUAAUACAUUUCUACGUCUUGGGUUUCUGCACUGUACCUCUGCUUCUAACCGUCUCAUUGACAACGAUGGUGUUCCGGUCACCGCCGAUUCAUCGGUGGGAGGCUUGACCCACAAAACGACCU